ACUCUUAACAAAACAGUGUCUUAUAAUUUUACUUCUAAGCCAAAAUCAUUCUUUUACAUGGAAUAAAAUGAAUAUUGCAGAAAACUCCAAAAGACUUUGGCUGUUUUACUGUUUGGGUAUUGGUGAAACAAUCAUCUGUCACUUAAUGACCUUCAGUCAACAAUAGACCACAUAUACGAUGGUGGUCCCAUAAGAUUCUAAUGGACCUGAAAAAUUCCUGUCACCUGGUCUCCUAGUGUCCUUUUCUGUGUUUAGACAUGUUUAGAUACACUUACCAUUGUGUCACAGUUUGCCUGCAGUAUUCAGUAUGGUAACGUGCUGUACAGGUUUUGUAGCCUAGGAGCAAUAGGUUAUACCAUAUAGUCUGGGUGUGUGGUUAUACCAUCUAGGUUUGUGUAAGUACCCUCUAUGAUGUUAACACAGUGACAAAAUUGGCUAGCAACACAUUUCUCAGAAUGUAUCCCUGUUGCUGAGCGACACAUGACUGUACCUGUUUCAGUAGAAUGGAUUGGGUAUGUUUUCUGUGGUGUAGUGGGAUGCUGUCAUUUUCCAUAAACUCCUCAGUGUCUCUGGAGCUGUACACUCAGUAGUGAUCAAAGAAGGAGAAGACUGCUCAUCUACAAAGACUACAGCACAUCUCUUCUAGCUAUUUACUGUCACAUUGAGGCAGCUAUGGAAUUAAAGGAUUUUCUAAGGAACCUGCUUAAUCUAGUCAUCCCAUCAGCAUGUCAGCACGUAGGCUUCGUGAAGGCAGAGGCUCUCUGCUAAACCACUGGAGCCCACAUGUAAAGCAGUUCUUGGCACUUAGAAAGUACUGAAUAAAUAUUUGGGUUUUUGUUGUUGUUGUUUGAGACGGAGUCU